rnacentral:tRNA from 1 species
GAAGGUAUAGAUCAGUGGUAGAGUGCAUGCCUAGCAUGCAUGAGCUCCUGGGUUCAAUCCGCAGUAUCGCUA